rnacentral:rRNA from 1 species
CCUACGGGCGGCAGCAGUGAGGAAUAUUGGUCAAUGGACGAGAGUCUGAACCAGCCAAGUAGCGUGAAGGAUGACUGCCCUACGGGUUGUAAACUUCUUUUAUAUGGGAAUAAAAUGUUCCACGUGUGGGAUUUUGUAUGUACCAUAUGAAUAAGGAUCGGCUAACUCCGUGCCAGCAGCCGCGGUAAUACGGAGGAUCCGAGCGUUAUCCGGAUUUAUUGGGUUUAAAGGGAGCGUAGGUGGGUUGUUAAGUCAGUUGUGAAAGUUUGCGGCUCAACCGUAAAAUUGCAGUUGAAACUGGCAGUCUUGAGUACAGUAGAGGUGGGCGGAAUUCGUGGUGUAGCGGUGAAAUGCUUAGAUAUCACGAAGAACUCCGAUUGCGAAGGCAGUUCACUGGACUGCAACUGACACUGAUGCUCGAAAGUGUGGGUAUCAAACAGGAUUAGAUACCCGUGUAGUC